AGCCUAAUUAAAGCAAAAUUUAAAAUAGGAAGUCUGAUCGACUUUUAAAAAAUUACAUGAUUUGAGUUCAGACCGGUAUAAGCCAGGUCGGUUUCCAUCUUUUUUAAAACUUUUGUAGUACGAAAGGACCUAAAAAUUAUAUAUAAUCUAUAUAUAUGGCAGAUUAUUGCAUUAGAAUUAGAAUCUAAUUAACUA
rnacentral:rRNA from 1 species